GACAGGAGGAUGCAAGCGUUAUCCGGAAUGAUUGGGCGUAAAGCGUCUGUAGGUGGCUUUUUAAGUCCGCCGUCAAAUCCCAGGGCUCAACCCUGGACAGGCGGUGGAACUACCAAGCUGGAGUACGGUAGGGGCAGAGGGAAUUUCCGGUGGAGCGGUGAAAGUGCGUAGAGAUCGGGAAGAACACCAGUGGCGAAGGCGGCCGGCUGGGGGCGCCCUGACGCUGAGCGCGAGAGCGUGGGGAGCAACCGG
rnacentral:rRNA from 1 species